rnacentral:lncRNA from 1 species
CAGGGCUACACUGUCAACAUUUACAUAAAGUUUCAUUAGGUUGGCUCUUAUAAUAAAAGAUUUAGAAUUUAGAUUUUUUUUUACAUUUUUGCAGUUUCCAUGGUAACGGUGGCCAUUUUUUACCAUUCCAAUGUCUCUUGCACAACUUCACAUGGAGGUUCAUAUUAUGGUAUAGUUCCAUCAACAUUGGUCUGACCAAUUCCGAGAAAUAGCGUGGACAAAAUGUGUGGAAGAAUAAAAAUAAGAAAAAAAAGAAACGAACAAUAACAAUAUGUCACCCCAACUCCGUUGAGGGUGCCAUAAUAACUAGAUUUGUAAUUGCUAGCAAUAACGGAUGGCACCCUCGUCCCCCCAUUGCCAGGCGAGCGGCAGCCAUUUUGAAAAUUCAAAAGUCAAAGAGUGCAUCUAGUCAUGCAAGUUAUCAUUUUUGUAAAAAUUCAUUAAAUUUGGAGCAAUUUGAAAUUUUGGACAAUUUUGUUGUUUCCAUGGUUACGGCGGCCAUUUUGGAAAUUCCAACUUCAAAAUGAAACUCUGCACAUGUCAGUUACUAUUCCUUUUAAGUUUCAUGCACUUUGCAGCACUUUAUUUUUUUUUGGAAAUUUUGAACAUUUGUGCUGCAACCAUGGUUACAGUAGAUAAUUCCAAAAUUCUAAAAGCAGACAUCUCAUUGCCACAUGUCAUGUUAUAUAUCAAUACAGUUUCAUUUACUUUGGUGCAAUACUCUUUGAGAAAAUGCUGAUUUUAUGCAUUUUUCCAUAGGGUCAAUGUUAUACUUGUCCCCAGUUUCCAUGACAACGGCGGCCAUUUUGGAGUUUCCAAAUAUCGUCUUGGCAUCUUGGCAUACUGGGUAACACUUUUAUAAAGUUUCAUCCAGUUGGGUCUUAUAAUGACAGAGUUAGAAUUUUUGAUAUUUUAGCUGUUUCCAUGGUAACGGUAGCCAUUUUGAAAAUUCCAAGAUCAAAAUGCAGCUCAAGCCAUGCCUGUUAAUAUUUAAGUGAAGUUUCGUGCAGUUUGGAAC